AACAGUGUAUAGAAAUUUUAAUCCACUAUUAUUUUGCAAAACCUUAAGUAAACCUCAAGACUCAAUACUUUGUUUUCAAGAAAUUCUAAUGACGACGACGACAGUAUAAAUGUCAUAGAUCAAAAACUCAGCUUUUGAUGUUUAAAGUAUAAAACAUGCAGAACAAUAAGAUCCAGAAUUGCGUCCGGAGAUACAGAGCUUCGCAACACAAAGCUAUUUGCCUCGCUGAUUGCUUCAUUUCCUUCUCUCCAUAGCUUGUGAAGAUCAUUCGAUAGAGGAGUUUCCUGCCUGAAGAGUUCCCGACAUUUCACGUUGGUUAAAGAGUUUUCGCUCUAGAAAAGUUUGUGCAAUUCACAAUCGAUUUCAGAUGCACUGAGCAAACCAGUCAUGGCUUGAAUAUAUAUAUUUUUUUACGUUAAUAUUUAAACUUAUUAUGUAAUAUAUACUUGAUAUUGGACUUUCCAAAUACGAAAAAUAAAAUACAUGAAUGGAAAAAGCG